rnacentral:rRNA from 1 species
AGAGCGAACGCUGGCGGCAGGCUUAACACAUGCAAGUCGAACGCCCGGGCAACCGGGAGUGGCAGACGGGUGAGUAACACGUGGGAACAUGCCCUUCGGUUCGGAAUAACUCGGGGAAACUCGUGCUAAUACCGGAUACGUCCGUAAGGAGAAAGAUUUAUCGCCGAAGGAUUGGCCCGCGUCCGAUUAGCUAGUUGGUGGGGUAAAAGCCCACCAAGGCGACGAUCGGUAGCUGGUCUGAGAGGAUGAUCAGCCACACUGGGACUGAGACACGGCCCAGACUCCUACGGGAGGCAGCAGUGGGGAAUAUUGGACAAUGGGCGCAAGCCUGAUCCAGCCAUGCCGCGUGAGUGAUGAAGGCCCUAGGGUUGUAAAGCUCUUUCGGCGGGGAAGAUAAUGACGGUACCCGCAGAAGAAGCCCCGGCUAACUUCGCGCCAGCAGCCGC